rnacentral:rRNA from 1 species
ACGCUAGCGGCAGGCCUAAUACAUGCAAGUCGAGGGGCAGCACAGGUAGCAAUACUGGGUGGCGACCGGCAAACGGGUGCGGAACACGUACGCAACCUUCCUUCAAGCGGGGAAUAGCCCAGAGAAAUUUGGAUUAAUACCCCAUAAGAAUGUGGAUUGGCAUCAAUCAGCAUUUAAAGAUUCAUCACUUGAAGGUGGGCGUGCGUCUGAUUAGGUAGUUGGUGAGGUAACGGCUCACCAAGCCGACGAUCAGUAACUGGCGUGAGAGCGCGACCAGUCACACGGGCACUGAGACACGGGCCCGACUCCUACGGGAGGCAGCAGUAAGGAAUAUUGGUCAAUGGACGCAAGUCUGAACCAGCCAUGCCGCGUGGAGGAUGAAGGCCCUCUGGGUUGUAAACUUCUUUUAUUUGGGACGAAACACUUUCUUUCUAGAGAGCUUGACGGUACCAGAUGAAUAAGCACCGGCUAACUCCGUGCCAGCAGCCGCGGUAAUACGGAGGGUGCAAGCGUUAUCCGGAUUCACUGGGUUUAAAGGGUGCGUAGGCGGACAUGUAAGUCCGUGGUGAAAUCUCUAAGCUUAACUUGGAAACUGCCAUGGAUACUAUAUGUCUUGAAUGUUGUGGAGGUUAGCGGAAUAUGUCAUGUAGCGGUGAAAUGCAUAGAUAUGACAUAGAACACCAAUUGCGAAGGCAGCUGGCUACACAAAUAUUGACGCUGAGGCACGAAAGCGUGGGGAUCAAAC